UAUUGCUCUGUGAUUGUUGUAUCUUCUCCUGUUUAGUGAAUUGUUAGUGUUAGGAGCAUAAAGUUGAGGUUUUACUGUUGUUCACAAACUUUCUGUGCAGAGGUUGGUAGAGAGCGUCUACUCCCUUCACCAUCUUGGCAUGCCACCAGGAAGGUGUGUGGUCCUGCAGAGACAAAAGUGAUGAAAACCCAGACUUGGGGAAAAAGAAAAGCCAGCUUACUUACCUGCUGGAAGUUCAGAGUGGCUGGAUGAAGGAGAGAAGCAACAUCGGCUAACCACUCACGCUUCAUCCAGAUAGCUACAGCAGUUCUGAUACCAGUAUGUUUGGCUUUGUGAAACAGAGCAACGGACAGAUUCAAAAACACAGACUGGAAUACGUUUACCCACACAGAUAUGGACCAGUAUGCCUUAUCUGAACUGGAUUACAUCUUCAAAACUACAGACAGUGUCACCACCCAGAAACAGAUCAUGUACCCCAACCAGAAGCCUUGGAUGAACUGGGAUGUUCGUCUCCUCCUGAAGCACCGCAACUCCGCCUUCAGGUCAGGAGAUGCACAGGCCUACAAUAUAGCCAGGGCUAAGCUAAAGAGGGGUAUCAAAAAGGCCAAACACCAUUACAAAAAGAAGGUAGAAGAAC